rnacentral:rRNA from 1 species
AGCGAACGCUGGCGGCAGGCCUAACACAUGCAAGUCGAACGGAUCCUUCGGGAUUAGUGGCGGACGGGUGAGUAACACGUGGGAACGUGCCCUUUGGUUCGGAACAACUCAGGGAAACUUGAGCUAAUACCGGACGUGCCCUUCGGGGGAAAGAGUUAUCGCCAUUGGAGCGGCCCGCGUCUGAUGAGCUAGUUGGUGAGGUAAAGGCUCACCAAGGCGACGAUCAGUAGCUGGUCUGAGAGGAUGAUCAGCCACAUUGGGACUGAGACACGGCCCAAACUCCUACGGGAGGCAGCAGUGGGGAAUCUUGCGCAAUGGGCGAAAGCCUGACGCAGCCAUGCCGCGUGAAUGAUGAAGGUCUUAGGAGUGUAAAAUUCUUUCACCGGGGACGAUAAUGACGGUACCCGGAGAAGAAGCCCCGGCUAACUUCGUGCCAGCCGCCGCGGUAA